rnacentral:rRNA from 1 species
UACGAGGGGUGCGAAGCGUUACUUCGGAAUUACUGGGCGUAAAGCGUGCGUAGGUGGUUUGUUAAGUCUGUUGUGAAAGCCCCGGGCUUAACCUGGGAAUUGCAUUUGAGACUGCGUAGCUAGGGUGCGGAAGAGGGAAGCGGAAUUUCCGGUGUAGCGGUGAAAUGCGUAGAUAUCGGAAGGAACACCAGUGGCGAAAGCGGCUUCCUGGUCCAGCACCGACGUUCAGGCACGAAAGCGUGGGGAGCAAACAGG